GCGUCCUUAGUUCAGUUGGUAGAACGUUGGUCUCCAAAACCAAAUGUCGAGGGUUCAAGUCCUUCAGGACGCGC
rnacentral:tRNA from 1 species